AGGUUUAUCCAUACUACACUUCCUAGCCUGUUCUCAUCUGAUCACAGAAGCUAAACGGCGUCAGGCCUGGUUAGCACAAGGGUGGGUGACCCUC
rnacentral:rRNA from 1 species